rnacentral:rRNA from 1 species
AAAUUUUACUUUAGCUUUGCUUAUAUACCUCUGUCAAUGAAUAAAUUAUAAGAUUAUUUUCUUGAAAUUUUAUAAAUAAAAUGUCAGGUCAAGGUGUAGCUAUGUUUUAGUAGAGAUGGGUUACAUUUUUUUUAAAAUUGGUUUGUAUUAUGUAAAUAGUAUAUUAAAUUGGAUUUGAUUGUAAUUUUUAUUAUAAUAUAAUUUUGAUUUUGGCUCUCAAUUAAGUACACAUCGCCCGUCACUCUCAUUUUUAAAGUGAGAUAAGUCGUAACAAAGUAGGCCCACCGGAAGGCGGGCCUUGAAUUAA